GACGUAGGGCGCGAGCGUUGUCCGGAUUUAUUGGGCGUAAAGAGCUCGUAGGCGGUCUGUUGCGUCAGGAGUGAAAACUCGGGGCUUAACCCCGAGCCUGCUUCUGAUACGGGCAGACUAGAGGUAUGCAGGGGAGAACGGAAUUCCUGGUGUAGCGGCGAAAUGCGCAGAUAUCAGGAGGAACACCGGUGGCGAAGGCGGUUCUCUGGGCAUUACCUGACGCUGAGGAGCGAAAGUGUGGGAAGCGAACAGG
rnacentral:rRNA from 1 species